AUUCGGCCGAAGAUAAAAUUUAAUUAAUAAAAGUAUAAGCCCAGACCAUUAAGGCCUAAAAACAAAUCAAGAUCUUAGGCCCAUUAGCCCCAACCCAUACAAACAACGCCCAUACCCCACAAAAUUGAGGUACGCUAGGGCCAAGCACACUAAAGCACAGAGAUCGGCAAAAACAGGUAUGUUGCCGAUCUUCUCUUGCAUCCAAGAUGAAGUGUCAGUAGGAAGAAAAAUCAUAGGCUUUUGCAACUGCUGUUAAAGCAUAAGGAAAAGCCUUUGCUAAAGUACAUAUUGAAAAGCUUCUUCUUCCAAGACAUUGGGACCUUAAAAAGCAUAAGAAAAACACACAAUCUCUGUGAUGGCCUUUGGGAGGUGAUGCAUGGCAGAGCUCUCAACUUUUCACUCUCUUUUUAGCCUUAAAUGUCAACCAACAUCAUGCAAGGCCAGCUCUAGCACCCUAGAUUUACCAUCCAUCAAGCUUCAACAUACAUAGCAACCUUCCCACAAAGCAGAAAUAACACCAAACCUAAGUCUUUUGUUGUUGUAGAGAACGACAGCCAUGGCGCGAGCCCUCAACAAAGAUAUUCUUUCUCUUAGCGACCGUAACCUGUAGCAAAACCCAAGUCAGAACCUAUUUACAUAUCGACUCAGAGGUGGGGAGGGAGAAACCUGUUCUCUGGGAUAGAGGAUGGCUUUCCCCUGCCCAGAAAAGGCAAAGGAAAGCCUCAGAAGGAAAAGAUUCGGUGUAGAUUAUGUUUCAAGAUAUACUAAAAUUUAGUAGGAUUAUCGUUU
rnacentral:misc_RNA from 1 species